rnacentral:rRNA from 1 species
GUAAAAAGCUUUUGGAAUAAGAGCUGGGCAAGACCGGUGCCAGCCGCCGCGGUAACACCGGCAGCUCUAGUGGUAGCUACUUUUAUUGGGCCUAAAGCGUUCGUAGCCGGUUUGAUAAGUCACUGGUGAAAUCCUAUAGCUUAACUGUGGGAAUUGCUGGUGAUACUGUUGAACUUGAGGUCGGGAGAGGUUAGCGGUACUCCCAGGGUAGAGGUGAAAUUCUGUAAUCCUGGGAGGACCACCUGUGGCGAAGGCGGCUAACUGGAACGAACCUGACGGUGAGGGACGAAAGCCAGGGGCGCGAACCGGAUUAGAUACCCGGGUAGUCCUGGCCGUAAACGAUGCGGACUUGGUGUUGGGAUGGCUUUGAGCCGCUCCGGUGCCGAAGGGAAGCUGUUAAGUCCGCCGCCUGGGAAGUACGGUCGCAAGACUGAAACUUAA